rnacentral:rRNA from 1 species
AUUGAACGCUGGCGGAAUGCUUUACACAUGCAAGUCGAACGGCAGCACGGGGGCAACCCUGGUGGCGAGUGGCGAACGGGUGAGUAAUACAUCGGAACGUGCCCGGUCGUGGGGGAUAACGUAGCGAAAGUUACGCUAAUACCGCAUACGAUCUGAGGAUGAAAGCGGGGGACCUUCGGGCCUCGCGCGAUCGGAGCGGCCGAUGUCAGAUUAGGUAGUUGGUGGGGUAAAGGCCUACCAAGCCGACGAUCUGUAGCUGGUCUGAGAGGACGACCAGCCCCACUGGAACUGAGACACGGCCCAGACUCCUACGGGAGGCAGCAGUGGGGAAUUUUGGACAAUGGGCGAAAGCCUGACCCAGCCAUUCCGCGUGCAGGACGAAGGCCUUCGGGUUGUAACCUGCUUUUGUAUGGAACGAAAAGGCUCUGGCUAAUACCUGGGGCUCAUGACGGUACCGUAAGAAUAAGCACCGGCGAACUACGU